GAUUGAACGCUGGCGGCAGGCUUAACACAUGCAAGUCGAGCGGGGGAGAUUGCUUCGGUAAUUGACCUAGCGGCGGACGGGUGAGUAAUACUUAGGAAUCUGCCUAUUAAUGGGGGACAACAUCUCGAAAGGGAUGCUAAUACCGCAUACGCCCUACGGGGGAAAGCAGGGGAUCACUUGUGACCUUGCGUUAAUAGAUGAGCCUAAGUCGGAUUAGCUAGUUGGUGGGGUAAAGGCCUACCAAGGCGACGAUCUGUAGCGGGUCUGAGAGGAUGAUCCGCCACACUGGGACUGAGACACGGCCCAGACUCCUACGGGAGGCAGCAGUGGGGAAUAUUGGACAAUGGGGGGAACCCUGAUCCAGCCAUGCCGCGUGUGUGAAGAAGGCCUUAUGGUUGUAAAGCACUUUAAGCGAGGAGGAGGCUCUCUUGGUUAAUACCCAAGAUGAGUGGACGUUACUCGCAGAAUAAGCACCGGCUAACUCUGU
rnacentral:rRNA from 1 species